UUUGGGGGGUGAUCUUGGACAUC
rnacentral:miRNA from 1 species